rnacentral:rRNA from 1 species
UUCCACGGUUUCCGUGACGCAGCUAACGCAUUAAGUUCCCCGCCUGGGGAGUACGGCCGCAAGGCUAAAACUCAAAGGAAUUGACGGGGACCCGCACAAGCGGCGGAGCAUGCGGAUUAAUUCGAUGCAACGCGAAGAACCUUACCAAGGCUUGACAUACACGAGAACACUCUGGAAACAGAGGACUCUUUGGACACUCGUGAACAGGUGGUGCAUGGUUGUCGUCAGCUCGUGUCGUGAGAUGUUGGGUUAAGUCCCGCAACGAGCGCAACCCUCGUUCUAUGUUGCCAGCACGUAAUGGUGGGAACUCAUGGGAUACUGCCGGGGUCAACUCGGAGGAAGGUGGGGAUGACGUCAAAUCAUCAUGCCCCUUAUGUCUUGGGCUUCACGCAUGCUACAAUGGCCGGUACAAAGGGCUGCAAUACCGUAAGGUGGAGCGAAUCCCAAAAAGCCGGUCCCAGUUCGGAUUGAGGUCUGCAACUCGACCUCAUGAAGUCGGAGUCGCUAGUAAUCGCAGAUCAGCAACGCUGCGGUGAAUACGUUCCCGGGUCUUGUACACACCGCCCGUCAAGUCAUGAAAGUCGGUAACACCUGAAGCCGGUGGCCCAACCCUUGUGGAGGGAGCCGUCGAAGGUGGGAUCGGUAAUUAGGACUAAGUCGUAACAAGGUAGCCG